AGCAAUUCCCACUGCAGUAAUGAGAUAGUAUGAGAUCCUCCAACAGGUAGGUCUAUUUGAACUUUGAGUGACUCUGAAAUACCUUGGAAGUAUCCUGACAUAUUACCACUAAUUUGAUAAUAAAGGACUAACCCAAUGGCCUCUAGUCAGUUACUUUACUGACCUCAAUAUAGUCCUGAAAUAUCAAUACGAUCAUUCAGUUGGUUUCAUCAUCAGUCUUUCCUUAUCUUAGGGCCACAAUUUUUUUUUAUUGUGGACUCUCUCAUAAAGAGAGAGUCCACAAUAAAAAAAUUUCCUAUUUUACUCUCCCUUUGUGACAACAUUAUCUUCUUUUCCAAGAAAUCUUCAGAAUUCAUAACCUCUUAGAAAAGAUGAUCAAUCCAAAGCUGUAACUGAAGGAUUAGAGCUUUUGGAGGUCCCUUGUUGAGGCAUUCCAAGUCAAGGACAUUUUGUACACUAUGUAGUUUUAUCCAGUAGCCAGGCUGAGCAUACUAAUGGGAAUCUGUGAUCAUGCUUUUCUGCCUACUAGCUACUAACAAUUCUACCACUUCAAAAUUUAUUAUAGUGACAACAUCUACUUUAUAUCAUCAAAUUCAACAAUAAUUAUUCAUUACUUAGCAUAAAGAUAGUCACAAAGGGGUGUCCUCAGAACUUAUAGCUAAAUGAAUUGCUCUGAGAAUGAAACUAAUUCGAAUCCACAGAGAACAGAUGCAGUCUGUAACUUCAAAGGCUUGGAGAACCCCUAUGUCCAAUAAAGGAUGUAGUUUUAGAGAGACAGAUCUGCUACAUGAUUGAUACCACCCAGAAAGAUAGGAUCUAAUUAUUUUGUAAGACUGAAUAAGAUAUUGUUAACAAAAGAAUGGUCUACUUGGAGUCUGAAAAAGAAGGCAAUGAGAAAAAAUAUAAUCACUCAUCUCCCUAGCCUCAAAGAUUAUUGACCAGCACACCAUUUGGAAGGUCCACCCUGACAGUAUUGUUAAGCCACCAGGCCAUUCCAAUUUGGCCUUAGCCAUUAAGAUGGUCACUUGAAUACAUUUGCUCUGAGUUGAUGGUCUUCAAGUAAUCAGAUUGUAAUUGCUUUUCUGUAUAAACUUUGUUAUGGAGAGAACAUUUCCUAACCAACUGACAUAAGUGUUCUAGCCUAUUUGGCAGUUAAUUCUCAUUGUAAGUGAAUAAAUUGGUGUUUGGCUUACUCA
rnacentral:lncRNA from 1 species